GAUGAACGCUGGCUGCGUGCCUAAUACAUGCAAGUCGAGCGAACGGACGAGAAGCUUGCUUCUCUGAUGUUAGCGGCGGACGGGUGAGUAACACGUGGAUAACCUACCUAUAAGACUGGGAUAACUUCGGGAAACCGGCGCUAAUACCGGAUGAUAUUUUGAACCGCAUUGUUCAAAAGUGAAAGACGGUCUUGCUAUCACUUAUAGAUGUAUCCGCGCUGCAUUAGCUAGUUGGUAAGGUAACGGCUUACCAAGGCAACGAUGCAUAGCCGACCUGAGAGGGUGAUCGGCCACACUGGAACUGAGACACGGUCCAGACUCCUACGGGAGGCAGCAGUAGGGAAUCUUCCGCAAUGGGCGAAAGCCUGACGGAGCAACGCCGAGUGAGUGAUGAAGGUCGUCGGAUCGUAAAACUCUGUUACUAGGGAAGAACAUAUGUGUAAGUGACUGUGCACAUCUUGACGGUACCUAAUCAGAAAGCCAAGGCUAACUACGGG
rnacentral:rRNA from 1 species